AAUUUCUUUAAUGCAUUGGAUCCCAACCAGGGACGAUUUUGUCCCCCAGAGGACAUCUGGCAGUGUCUGAAAACAUUUUUGGUUGUCACAACUGGGAGUUGCUACUGGCAUCUAGUGGGUAGAGGCCAGAGACGCUGCUAAACA